ACAUUCCCCAUUGCUGCAGAAUGACGAACAGCAUGAGUAGUCCCUUACAGUCCCAGCCUAUCCUUGCUGCAGGCUGUCCACUGGUAGCCACCUCAAAUGACAGUUGUCUAUCUCCAGCUCUCUUUCUCUACAAAUCCCUGACUGAACCCAAACAAAGCUACCUCAGGCUGUCACGCAACCACAACAUGUACUGGAGACAUCACUUGAAGGAAAACACUGUGCGGAUCAGGUUCCUCUGCAAAAAAAAGUGACAUUACACCUACCACUUUCAUGAGGGCACUGAGGUAUCCUGUUUGCCCGAAGCAUCCACAAAUAG